AGGGAGAUGUAUUAGUACAUUAUGAUCUAAUGGAAUUUCCAUCAAUAGAUUAUAUGAUGUAAUUGUGAAGACAUUUCAUUAACUUAUUUUAAAAACUUUUUUUUUUUGAGACUGAGUCCAUGCAACAGAUAACUCAGACUUGACACGUCCAGAAAACAGAGUUGUGGUGGAUUCUCAGACAUGCCCCCAGAUCCCCCGUCAGUGCACGACUCUGCCCCAGCUGCUGUACCAGGACUAAGUCAGAGUUUAUCCCCUGGACGCAGUGGGAGUCAAUGAACCUCAGCCCUGCACAGGUGAACACAACAAAGUGGGCCCAUCGUUAAUUCAGUAAAUUACCGACUUAGUGCCAGGCACUGUAACAGACACAGAGGUCACAAAGGAACACUGGGACUGGUAUGGGAAGAAUGCCUCAUGUGAGCAUGCGCAGCAAAACUCCGGUAAACACACUGAGCAUGCUCCCCUCCCCAACACUGGCGGGCCACUGCGCAUGCGGGCAGCCCACCCCAAGGGAAG